rnacentral:rRNA from 1 species
GACGAACGCUGGCGGCGUGCUUAACACAUGCAAGUCGAACGGAAAGGCCCCUUUUGGGGUACUCGAUUGGGGAACGGGUGAGUAAAACGGGUGUAACCUACCCUUGUGUUCUGCAUAACAUCAGGGAACUAGGGCUGGUAACGGAUAGGAAUCCUUGCUGCAUGGGCGGGGUUGGGAAGGUUCGGCGGUAUUGGAUGGACGCGCGGCGUAUUGGCUUGGUGGUGGGUCGUGGCUUUGCAAGGCUUUGACGGGAAGCCGGCCUGAAAGGGCGGCCGGCCACAUUGGGACUGAGAUCCGCCGCAGACUGCUGCGGGGGGCAGCAGUGGGGAAUAGUGCACAAUGGGCGGAAGCCUGGUGCAGCAAAGCCGCGUGCGGGAGGACUGCCCUCGGGUUGUAAACCGCUUUCAGCAGGGGCGAAGCGUGUGGUGACGGUACUUGCAGAAGAAGCACCGGCUAACUACGUG